rnacentral:lncRNA from 1 species
GUAUGUUCCAUUUGGAGGACUUUCUUUUUGAUGUCACCAGUGUCUGGAUCUCCAGUGGGAUGGGCAGCAUCAUGAGUUUUGUUGGUCGUAUCCAACAGCAGUUCAGGUAAUGUAAUGACCUGGGUUCCCCCUUAUGUGGAGGAUUCAGCAUGUACGGGUAUUUUUGGACCCUAAUUAGACUGGUGUAAUUCUUUGAGUAGAACAACCAAAUCUGUAAUUUUCUUGCUUAAUCCGUCGAAUUCUUUAUGAGAAACUAGAUUAAGUUCAGUCUGGUCGGAUGACGACAUGUUUGACUGUAGGCCUCUAGCCUUUUUGGACUUUGACCGGGUAGUAGGUCCGAUUAG